rnacentral:rRNA from 1 species
UGGGGAAUUUUGGACAAUGGGGGAAACCCUGAUCCAGCCAUCCCGCGUGUGCGAUGAAGGCCUUCGGGUUGUAAAGCACUUUUGGCAGGAAAGAAACGUCAUGGGUUAAUACCCCGUGAAACUGACGGUACCUGCAGAAUAAGCACCGGCUAACUACGUGCCAGCAGCCGCGGUAAUACGUAGGGUGCAAGCGUUAAUCGGAAUUACUGGGCGUAAAGCGUGCGCAGGCGGUUCGGAAAGAAAGAUGUGAAAUCCCAGAGCUCAACUUUGGAACUGCAUUUUAAACUGCCGGGCUAGAGUGUGUCAGAGGGAGGUGGAAUUCCGAGUGUAGCAGUGAAAUGCGUAGAUAGGAGGAGGAACACCGAUGGAGAAGGCAGCCUCCUGGAAUAACACUGACGCUCAUGCACGAAAGCGUGGGGAGCAAACAGG